GACGAACCGUGCGAACGUUAUUCGGAAUCACUGGGCUUAAAGCGCGUGUAGGCGGACGGGGACGUCGGUCGCUGAAAUCCCCCGGCUCAACCGGGGAACGGGCGCCGAAACGCCCCGUCUCGAGGGACGUAGGGGGACCUGGAACUUCCGGUGGAGCGGUGAAAUGCGUUGAGAUCGGAAGGAACGCCCGUGGCGAAAGCGAGGUCCUGGACGUCUACUGACGCUGAGACGCGAAAGCUAGGGGAGCGAACGGG
rnacentral:rRNA from 1 species